ACUUCUCCUUUUGGCAUGGGAGAAGGGUUUUUAAACAAAGUGAUUGUUACUCUGACUUAAAAACAACUGUAGGAAAGCCCACAGUGACCCAAUUGUGGCAGACACCACCAGGAAUGAUGAAAUUGUUCAAGUCCCCUGCGUCCUCUUCCAAGAUAGCAGCAUCCUCUUCUUCAAGUUGAUCGUCAUGGAUGAAUCCUCCACUCUUGAACAGACCUUGCUCAUUGCAUGCCCCAG
rnacentral:lncRNA from 1 species